UACGUAGGGUGCGAGCGUUGUCCGGAAUUAUUGGGCGUAAAGAGCUCGUAGGCGGUGUGUCACGUCGUUCGUGAAAACCUGCAGCUUAACUGUGGGCGUGCGGUCGAUACGGGCAUCACUGGAGUUCGGCAGGGGAGACUGGAAUUCCCGGUGUAGCGGUGAAAUGCGCAGAUAUCGGGAGGAACACCGGUGGCGAAGGCGGUUCUCUGGGCCUUACCUGACGCUGAGGAGCGAAAGCGUGGGGAGCGAACAGG
rnacentral:rRNA from 1 species